UAUUGUCAUCAUUAGAGAAAAAGCAAAUCCAAUCCUUUACAAUAAUGCUAACUCCUAUUACGGAUUAUCUAUAUACAAUACAAGAUGUGUGUAUGUUUUUCAGGCAUAAAGAGUUCGAACUACAUAGAGACAAAAAUACAUGUACGAUAUGCUUGGAUUAUCUGAUAAAUAAAUCAUGUCACCACUCCCUCGUGGGGGCAGCCUUCGGGACUGACAGGACUGCCAAGUGGUUCUGACGGCGUUCCCACCAGUCGGGGGGGCUCCAAAAAUGGCGGCCUUGAAAAGAAAUCUUUUCCCGAUUUGUCACGUCCAAAUACAGCGCGAUGCCUUUAAAAUGAAUGAUUCUGAAAAAAAAGGCAUCCCAAGAGUGGAAAUCACCUUGAAAGCCGUGGUGAUAGAAGCAUGUAGAACAUCUCCUCCUAGACAUGAUGCUAGUGGAAAUGUGCAUCUCCUGAUGUCAUCCAAUAAUAUCCGGCAUAAUGACACGGCAUCAUCGUCCUGACCAAGAGGCACAAGAUAUUAGAUGGUUAUUUCAUAAUUAAUGCUGGUUCUACUUAAACAUGACAUGUUCACCAUAAUUUGCUUUGAUAAAUCCACAUUUUAUUUUCAAAGUGGCAAAGUAGUAACUAUGACUACAAUGUAAACAUCAGAACAUGAAGGAACCACCUGAGUUAAUUCAGAUCAGGUGUGAUUCUUUAAGAAAAGUUUUACAAGAUGAAAAUUCAUUAAUACUAACAGAAUUUAAAGCCACAUAGCAGAAAACUAAACAUACUAAUAGCAUGGGUUCGGCAUACUUGUGAACAAUGUUUUUUUUUUUAACAUAUCAGACUUUUAACUGGAUUGUAGUGUCGAUUAACA